CUCGUAGGCGGCCAACUAAGUCAGACGUGAAAUCCCUCGGCUCAACCGGGGAAUUGCGUCUGAUACUGGAUGGCUUGAGUUUGGGAGAGGGAUGCGGAAUUCCAGGUGUAGCGGUGAAAUGCGUAGAUAUCUGGAGGAACACCGGUGGCGAAGGCGGCAUCCUGGACCAACACUGACGCUGAGGAGCGAAAGCCAGGGGAGCAAACG
rnacentral:rRNA from 1 species